rnacentral:rRNA from 1 species
UUUUAGAGGAAGUAAAAGUCGUAACAAGGUUUCCGUAGGUGAACCUGCGGAAGGAUCAUUAACGAAGUCGAACGUGUUCGGGUUGUUGCUGGUCUCUCUUCCUUUGGGGGGGGAUUUAUAUGUGCACGCCCUGACCGUCGUUGUCCCAUUUCUUCCACACCUGUGCACGAUCUGUAGUCGGGGAUGAUCACGGGGCUGGCAUUUUGUUGGCCUCGAAUGCCCCGGCUAUGAACGGUUUAUUACAUGCCUCGAUUUUGUUUUUAUGGAAUGUUUGCUCGCGUUGUAUAACGGCGCGAAUGGAAUACAACUUUCAGCAACGGAUCUCUUGGCUCUCGCAUCGAUGAAGAACGCAGCGAAAUGCGAUAAGUAAUGUGAAUUGCAGAAUUCAGUGAAUCAUCGAAUCUUUGAACGCACCUUGCGCCCCUUGGUAUUCCGAGGGGCAUGCCUGUUUGAGUGUCAUGAAAUUCUCAACUCGCUUCGGUUUUGUUUCGGAGUGAAGUUGGAUUUGGAGUGCUUGCCGGCCUGUUCGGCUCCUCCCAAAAGCAUAUAUGUAGCUCUUUCGGCCGGAUCUUUGACGUGAUAAUUGUCUACGUCGUGGARAAAGCCUUGAACGGGAGAGCA